ensembl:lncRNA
UGUAUAUAUUUUAAGUGGUCAUUAAUAGACCAUAAUUAUUGCACAAAUAGUAUUUAGUACCAAAAGAUUUCCUAAAAAAUAUUAAAUAAAUAUGAAUGAACUAAAUUCUAAAAAAAUAAAAAUAAAAAAAUAGGGUAUAUGGUCACAUUAUACCUAAGUAAGGAAUUCCUGAAAGGUUAAAUAGCUACAAGAAAAAUAUAUUAAAGUUUCCAGCUCCAUCACACCAGAAUAAAAUUAUAUACUAAAUGUCAUCGAAGAAACAAUCAGUGCAUGAUAAUAUGCUGUAAUGUUUCCCAAAAGUUGCUGCAAAGAGCUGUGUAGUGAAGCUGUUGUUGUCUCUCCUAUUAUUGACAGCGCUGGUUUGUGUGGAACCAUUGAAGGAUAUUGAACCACGUGACCGGGUGGCGGCGACAACGCUGUUUGGACUCUCAUUCCAACGGCACCUAUUCACUGCAGGGAAUCCAUUACUUAGAAAGGAUGCAAUGCAGAACUUCCCCAUGUAGAAACAAACUCAUCAACAUCUCUGAUGGCCUGGGGGUGAGUACAUUUUCUGUAAAUGUUCAUUUUUAGGUGAAUUAUUCCUUUAACCAGUGUUAGCAAAUUGAACCUUGCUUUUGUCAUUUAUUCACGCCCUGUCAUCAUUGAGCUAUAAGCAAGGCACUUAACCAACCAAUGUUGCUGCAGAGGAACUUUCUUUGCAGUGAAUAUGCUGUAAUUGGCCUUGCAUGACAGCCACUUGUUAAUUAUCAAAUAACAAAUAACUGGAAAUUUGAAUUGGCGUCAGGGGCUACACCCCAUAAGGAAUUUUAGAGGCCCUAUCCUAUUACCAGUCUCUUUUUUUCUUUUCUUUAUGCAAACACAUUAAAGGAUCAUAUCAAUUUAGCUAAAUUAUGGCUAAUUUGAUUGAAAAAUACGAUAAGCUUUAAAUGUUUUAAUAUGGUGAUUUUUCCUGCCUGUUUAUUUAUACAUUGUUAGAAGGGUGUAACAUUUUAAUGUGUUUUUCAAUCCGUUUACCAGUUCAGCAUGUUUGAUUUCGGUUGAAUUAUGCUUUCAUUAGGAUUUAACCAAAUAUUCCAUUUAAAAUCAAAGGGGGGCCAAAUGUAAGAAGCUUAGAAAGUUUUACAUCCAUUGAAAAACUAAACUAAUGUUGUUCAGCCACUAACCAUAAUAUUGAUAAGUUAAGCAGGCAUGGAGAAAAUUAAAAAGUUUAUGCUUUUAAGAGCACUUAAAAAGCACAUUUGUGACUAGUAAAGCAUUAACCAUAAUAUAGUAAAAUAUUAGAGAUAAAUAUGUUGCUUGUAUUUUUUUAUUUUGUCUGAAUAAACGGGUACUUUUGAAUGGUUCUCAGUGGUGAAAGUCAUUGUCUUCAGGCAGAUGGUGUAAUUAUGACAUCAGCAGGGUCUAAUGGGGUAAUAGUAACCAGCAAAACGUAACUCCUGGCAGUGCCUCGCUAUUUCUAUUUCUAAUUUAACAAUUUCUUGGAAAUCCUUGAAUAUGAUGCAAGUCGGGAAGCAAAUAAGAGAUUUCCAGACUUGUAAAAGUUUUUUUUCUUUUUUUUUUUUCUUUACCUCAAAUUAAAUCAUUUGUUCAGUGCAGCAUUGGUGAUUUCAACAUGAAGUUAAAAGUACUUCAUGUGUUUUAUUACGCUAUGAAUAGAUGCGAGUGUACACAUCUUAAAUACUAAUUAAAACAAUAAAAAAUAAAUCCAUCUUUACCAACUGUCGAC